GGAAGAUGAUGGAAUUGUAAUAGUUGGUUGAGUCUGUUUUAGGUCUGUUUUUCAAGCCUUUGGUUGGGGAGUGACUUUUGAAGUCAAUGACAAUGCCAGGUUUAAGAAGAUUUCUGGAGGCAUGUGUUUAGGGAAUGGCGUGGAUGAGACAAAGACUCGAUUUAUAGACUGCCCCACACAACUGCUGUGUCCUGAGCACCAACAGUGUGAAAGGAGUACGCGGCCGUCAACCCCUGUGAAGGACCAUCCCUUUCAAGAGCAAUGUGAAUACAGUGCCCAGCCACGGAAAGGGGAGUCACAAAUGAAAACAAAAGACAUACAUUCAAAAGACGACCUGUACCCUGAUUUUCUUAUGAAAUGCUUAAUGAAAAGAUGCUCAAACACCUCCAUGGAUUUGUGGAUUCUGAAGUAGGAAGGCAGCAGGAACAGAAGCCCAUGGGCUGUCUUCACUGACCUUAAUUGUUUGGGUUUCGAGUUUAGCAGCUAAAUGGUCCUGCCUGGAGAAUGUGCUUUGUUUCACGCUGAUGUUUGAAGAAAUUCCCUGGUUUGUAUCAGUCAUACAUCAUGUCAGGCUGGAGUGUCCUUUACCAACCCGGAAAUUCAAGACUGACUCACAAUGGCUAUACCUGACUCUAGAGCAAAGGCCUCUGGCUGAACUUUUGUCUCUUCCAUGUAUUACUAUGGGAUUGCAGGCAG
rnacentral:lncRNA from 1 species